GAUGAACGCUGGCGGCGUGCCUAAUACAUGCCAGUCGAACGAACAGACGCGGCGUUUGCUCCUCUGACGAUUGCCGAGCACGUGAGUGUCACACGAGUAACCCCUCCCUAUCAGUCUGGGAUCUCCACGAGACACCGGCGAUAAUACCAUAUAAUAUAUUGCUCCGCAUGGGUCGUUAGAGAGUGACGGUUUUGCUGUAACUUAUCGAUGGAUACGCGCCGCUUUGGCUAGUUGGUAAGGUAAAGGCUUACCAAGGCAACGAUGCGUAGCCGGACUGAGAGGGUGAUCGGCCACACUGGAACUGAGACACGGUCCAGACUCCUACGGGAGGCAGCAGUAGGGAAUCUGGCGCAAUGGGCGAAAGCCUGACGGAGCAACGCCGCGUGAGUGAUGAAGGUCUUCGGAUCGGAAAACUCUGUUAUUAGGGAAGAACAAAUGUGUAAGUAACUAUGCACGUCUUGACGGUACCUAAUCAGAAAGCCACGGCUAACUACGUG
rnacentral:rRNA from 1 species